ACAUUUCACUUUCUACGGCGGUCCACUUUCACAGGCUCCUCUCAUCAGUUUCUCUCUCACUUCCACUUCAACCGUUCACACUUCCGUUUCUCUCCCACACUCAGUCUCACUAUCAUCUUCAACGAUUCACUUGUGGCUUUCUCUAUCGCUCAACCCUAAAAGGAGCAAGUAUCUUGAGUCUUCAACGAUUCAGAUUUACCGCCUUAUAAGUCUUGUUAAAAGAAAACAAAGACUGGCCAGCAAAGAUGACAAGAGUGGACAUUGAUAUUAUUUGUACUGAUUUUUUAUAAGGACAUUUGGACAUAUAGUUUAAGAUCUUUAGAUUUUAUAAACAUGAAUAUAUAAUGUAUAUUAAGUUUACAUUUUAAUGUUUAGAAUUAUAAAUAUGUUUGCAUUUCAAUUAUAAA